rnacentral:rRNA from 1 species
UACGUAGGGGGCGAGCGUUGUCCGGAUUUAUUGGGCGUAAAGAGCGUGUAGGCGGCCAGGUAGGUCUGCUGUGAAAACUCGAGGCUCAACCUCGAGACGUCGGCGGAAACCAUCUGGCUAGAGUCCGGAAGAGAAGAGUGGAAUUCCUGGUGUAGCGGUGAAAUGCGCAGAUAUCAGGAAGAACACCCGUGGCGAAGGCGGCUCUCUGGGACGGUACUGACGCUGAGACGCGAAAGCGUGGGGAGCGAACAGG